GACGAACGCUGGCGGCGUGCUUAACACAUGCAAGUCGAACGGCAAGGCACAGCUUGCUUGCUGCUCGAGUGGCGAACGGGCGGGUAACACGUGGGUGAUAUGCCACUUACUUCUGGAUAAGCUUUGACGACUGGGAAUAAUCCCUGAUAGCACAAACGACCUGCGUCGGUUGUGGAAGGUUUUUUCGGCUAUGGGUGAGCGAGCGGGCUAUCAGCUGAUUGGUGGGGUAAUGGCGUACCAACGCGGCGACGGGUCGCCGACCUGAGAGGGUGGACGGGCACAAUGGUACUGAGGGACGGCGCAGAGGCCAAUGGGAGGCAGCAGGGGCAAGUAUUGCACAAUGGGCGCAAGCCUGAGGCAGCGGCGCCGGGUUUGUAAUGACGGCCUGCGGGGUGUGAACCGCAGUCGACUGAGACGAAGCUUUUGUGACGGUACCUGUAGAAGAAGCACCGGCUAACUACGUG
rnacentral:rRNA from 1 species